UACGAAGGGGGCGAGCGUUGUUCGGAUUUACUGGGCGUAAAGGGCGCGCAGGCGGCUAUCCAAGUCAGGCGUGAAAGCCCCGGGCUUAACCUGGGAGGUGCGUCUGGGACUGGGUGGCUAGAGUUCGGGAGAGGAGAGUGGAAUUCCCAGUGUAGAGGUGAAAUUCUUAGAUAUUGGGAAGAACACCGGUGGCGAAGGCGGCUCUCUGGACCGAGACUGACGCUGAGGCGCGAAAGCGUGGGGAGCAAACAGG
rnacentral:rRNA from 1 species